rnacentral:lncRNA from 1 species
CCCAAAGUCUCCGUCCCCUUUAGUUCAUCCCCUUUAGGGGAACUAAAGGGGAUGAAGAAGUUCCCCUUCGGGGAGGAACACCCNCUUUAGUUCAUCCCCGAAGGGGAACCCCUUCGUCAUCCCCUAAAGGGGAACCGUAGGGGAGUUCUUCCCCUUUAGGGGAACCCCUUCUUCCCCUUUAGGGGACUCCGUCUUCUUUAGUUCCCCUAAAGGGGAUGAAGAAGUUCCCCUUCGGGGAGGAACACCCCUUUGGUUCUUCCCCUUCGUUUUCUUCCCCAAAGGGGAACCCCUUCUUCAUCCCCUUUAGGGGAACUAAAGGGGACUCCGUCUUCUUUAGUUCCCCUAAAGGGGAUGAAGAAGUUCCCCUUCGGGGAGGAACACCCCUUCGUUUUCUUCCCCAAAGGGGAACCUUCUUCCCCUUUAGGGGACUCCGUCUUCUUUAGUUCCCCUAAAGGGGAUGAAGAAGUUCCCCUUCGGGGAGGAACACCCCUUCGUCUUCCCCUUUGGUGAUAACGAAGAAGAUGAACCCCUUCUUCUUCCCCUUCGUUUUCACCCCUUUAGGGGAACUAAAGGGGACUUCUUCCCCUUUGGUUCAUCCCCUUUAGUUCCCCUAAAGGGGAUGAACUAAAGGGGACGAACCCCUUCGUUUUCUUCCCCGAAGGGGNNN